GAGUUUGAUCCUGGCUCAGAACGAACGCUGGCGGCAGGCUUAACACAUGCAAGUCGAACGCCCCGCAAGGGGAGUGGCAGACGGGUGAGUAACGCGUGGGAAUCUACCCAGAACUUCGGAACAACUGAGGGAAACUUCAGCUAAUACCGGAUACGCCCUACGGGGGAAAGAUUUAUCGGUUCUGGAUGAGCCCGCGUUGGAUUAGUUAGUUGGUGAGGUAAUGGCUCACCAAGGCGACGAUCCAUAGCUGGUCUGAGAGGAUGAUCAGCCACACUGGGACUGAGACACGGCCCAGACUCCUACGGGAGGCAGCAGUGGGGAAUAUUGGACAAUGGGCGAAAGCCUGAUCCAGCCAUGCCGCGUGAGUGAUGAAGGCCGUAGGGUUGUAAAGCUCUUUCAGUAGGGAAGAUAAUGACGGUACCUACAGAAGAAGCCCCGGCUAACUUCGUG
rnacentral:rRNA from 1 species